CCACCCCCUAGCCAUUACCCAUUCCGUCUCUAACCUCAGAGACCAACCAAACCCAUCCCUGUGAAACCCUAGCCGCCAUCAAACCCUCUCACCUGAAACCCGGCGGCAACAACGCCGCUGGCCACCAAAUUUAAACCCCUGAAGCACCCUAAUCCCCUCUCUCCAAAUCCACCCUCAUCCUACCUCGAAUCAACCUCGAGUUUCUCGAAUCAUCAUUUGAAGAUUCGAGCAAAAUUGGAACCAAUCCCAAUCGGUCCCAAACUCACACCAUAGCUUUCCCUAGCCUCCCUCAUCACCAAACAAUUAUUAGUUUGGUUCGAAUCAAACCCAAACCACUCGAACCCCAAAUUCGAGCCGAAGAACCCUAGAAAAAUCGAGCCUGGAUUUUGUCCGAAUUGAAUAGUUUUUGGUUGUUCAAUGGACUUUAGCCGAUAUUUUCUCAGUUGAGAACACUCGAUCAAAGUUCGUUUGGCCUCAGAAGUUUGAAAUUCGUUUGGUCCGAGUUCGUCUUUUCCCUAUUCACUUUUGAGGUAUUUAUUUUCCUUUUUCUUCUAUUUCUCUGAUGUUCCUAUGUUUGUUAUUUGUUUAUAUUCAUUAUAUCAAUUUGUUUUCAAUUUUUUGCCAAGUGUUCUUCUUCUUCUGCCAAAGACCUUUUAUUUGGUCAAUUUUAUUCUGUUUGUUGUUGAUUGUGGUCGUUGUAAACUACAUAUUCGACUCAAUUAAUAUCGUCGAAUCGUUAGUUUCAUAAUCCCCUAUUUUGCCCGAAUGCUACGAAUCACACUGUUUUUGGGUCGAUUAUUUGUUAUCGAUUAUAUGUGUUGUAAUCGAUUAGAUAAAUAUCGUCGAUUAGUUGUAUAGGUUUGAUUGUAAGAUUAAUGUUGACAAUAGUAUUAUUGAUACUGUCUGAUUUGGUCCGAAUUAUUGUUUGAAUUAAAGACUGAAUGGUUUACAACAGAAUUUAGGUUUGAAUUGGUUAUAGCCAAACUUAGGAAAUGGAAUCUAGCUACAAUUUUAAUAGAAAUUUUCAGAGUUUAGUCUAAGUGGGCUGUUAGUUGAGCAUGUGUUGGAAGAUUAGAUGACUUUACUAUUGAAAAGUUGAAAUGCACAUGAGAAUGGUAGUGGAACCUGCUGUACAGUAGGACUUUCACUACAUUCUGAUUUCCAGAAGUUUUAAAAUAAGAAGCUCCAUAUCUAGACAAAUUUAAGUGGCAAAAAACAGAGGAAUAAGAUGGAUCUGAUCAAUUUUUAAAUAAGUUGAAAUUUAAAAUAAGAGUUCCAUGCCUAGACAAAUUUAAGUGGGAAAAACAGAGGGGAUAAUCAGUUUUUAAAAGGUUUUCAACAGGCUGUAAGGUGAGUUCAGUUUGGCUAUAUAAGAGGUCUUCCAUAACAGUUUUAAAGAAGUCUUUUGAAAAAUCGGAAAGGUUAAAAGAAUUUUCAGAGAAAUAGAUAGAGAGUGAGGUUUAAAGUUGAACUAAAUUUCCAGAAUUAAAGAGUUAUAUAGGCUGAGUUGUGCUUAAAGGUUUCAGUGGGUUUUCUUUGAGUAUUUACAAUCAGAAACACUGUCAUUGCAUCUGCCUUACUUUUCACUUAACUGUGAGCGCAUUUGGAGUGUUACGGGGUGAUUAGUGUGAUAUAUCUUGGGUUUUCUGCUGGUAUUUAUCUUCUGGAGCUAUUGUUAUCCAUUUGGUGUUGCUAGGCUUUUAUAUUGGGAUUCAAACACUGUUGCAUUGGAUUCUUGGAUUCUUUCUAUUUGGUUUUCAAUCUGCUACUGGUGUUGCUGAAUUUGUUGAUGUGUUCAUUGUGCUACUGCUGCCAUCACUGAUCUUCCUUCUCUUUCUUCGCUUUUUCAAAUACCAGGUACACAUUGCUACACUGGUACACUUGUAGGCUGAACUUGAAGCAUGAAAUAUAAAUGAAAAACUGAAGUUUUACAUUUAUCUUAGUUGUAUUCUGUAUGUAUAUAAUGGAAUCCUUGAAAGUAGUUUAGUGAACAAAUCUCUUAUGUAUGUUAGCUAGAAAAGAACUCAUGAUGCAGUAGCCAUAUCCUUCCCCCUCCAGCCUAUUUCUCUUAUAACCCAUUUGAAAUGUAUAUCAAGUUUUAAGUCAAGUAAUCAGUAGUUUAAACUCGUUAGUAACAAUUUAUUUUUUUAGAUUCAUAAAACAGGUUUCAUUAGCUAUUGACCCCAUUGUUGUCCCAUUGUAAAUCUCGAACAUGUGUAGUAUGAUGUAAUUAGGUCCCAAAAUUAGAGUAAGAUGACCCAGGCCCAGUUUCGCAUCAUUCACGAUGGGACUGGGCCCAAAACUUUUAAAUGGACUGCCCUAUUGUAUCAUUUUCGGAUCUAACGAGUUGUGUUCAACGCCCGCUUAUAAUGAGUUUCAAGCAUGUGAAUAAAUUAGGUAUUUUCUUCUUUUAUUUUAGAGACAGACAAAAUAGAAAACAUAGUCGAUUUAGGAUAUCCCUUAAAAAUAAAAGGAGGCGUGCCUCGCCAAAAUAAAUUACAAAUGCCCCUUAAUAAAUACACAUAAUAAUUGCAUAGUUUUCGGAAUCGUCAAGAAAUAGAAAACAUAGUCGCUUUAGGAUAUCCCUUAAAAAAUAAA
rnacentral:lncRNA from 1 species